AUAGUCUAAUGGAGUGCGAGAUCUGCAGACAAAAAUCCGAUUCAGGUGGGCAGUCUGUAUAGAGGGUACACAGGAGGAGCGACUGGCCCCCUGGAGGAGUUGAGUCCGCAUCUCAGAAGGACAACACUUGACCCGGAUCUGGAAGAGGCUGUGGCACUAGGCAGGCAGAUGAACAGCGAGGAGCAUUUGGGCAGAGAGAACUCUGUCUGCCAAGCUCCCUGCUCUGGAGACACCCACCUGUGAUUCCUGUGUCAUCUCCCGGCGCUGGCAGGAGGGAGGGGCAGGAGGGGAGGCGGCAAGGGAAGCAGGGCCCCCGGGGGAGAUGCUGUGGGCAUCCAGGUGGCCCCCAAACAGAGCGCUGAGGACCACCCAGAGGGCAGCAGUGUCUCUGAAGCCCCAGGCAGCUGCUACGAGAGGCCCGAGAGGCCAUCCACCAUCACCUACGACUACUCCGAGGAAGAGCUGAUGGCCAGCAUUGAGCAGGAGUACUGCUGCUGAGGCCGGUGCUGCAGCAGCCCCGCUGUCACCCAGCGGCCAGUUUGCUGCUCCUCCCAGACCUGGCCCCACCUGCCCUGCCCAAGGCUCUAGGUGGAGCUGAGCCCCCUCCAACACGCAGUUACUCCUGGAUCUGUCACAGCUGACCCUUUCAAGUCCACAUUCAGAUGGGCCUGAAUCGGGGUGGCUGCUGCCCAUUGUGCUUAUUGGCAAGAGGAGGUCAGCUCUGUGGACACGGGCCAGAAGGAGGGUGCAGGUGCUGCCCCACAGGCGCGGGGCCAGGUGACCUGCCACAUACCUGCCCCUCCCCUCAGUCUCUGGGGAGAGUGGGCUACAAGAUGCUCCUGGAUCUUGAAAUGCUUCUCCUUUCUGAUGGCCCACUGGCCACCUGCUCAGGAGGCCCUUGAGCUGAAUGAAAGUCUUGGGGCCUCUAACACCCCUGCCGCAGCGCCUCAGGGACGUUCCCCGCAGCAGGUGCACCCAGCUGGAGGGAGCUGGAGGGAGCCACCCUCCAUGCCGCAAAGGAAUCGCUGAAGAUGCUACUGAAAUGAAAACAUUCAGAUUCUGUGUGUCUGGGGGCCUGGGAGUCUGCAUUUCUCACCAGCUCCCGGGUGAGACCCAGGCUGCCAGAUCCCAGCCACCCUUGGAGCAGCGAGGAUUGAGUCUGAGCUUUAGGCUCCAGGUAAUGCUUCCCUGGAGCUGGAGGCUGCUCAGAGCCACAGCCCAGCUGCCUCCACAAAGAGAGGCCUGUGCUGUGGCCAGUGUGGAGGGACAGGAGCUGGAAACCCCCCGUCUGAUCCUUGCUCUGUCACUAACUUGCAGUCACCUUCCCUCUCUGACUCAGCUUCCCUUUCUAGAAAGGGAGCCCCGGAGGCUCUUCGGGUGUUGUCUCCCCACCCCCCCAUCUAGGACGACACACUCCCAGGCUUCCCUGGUCUCUGGGCACAGGACCGCCUUCCUGCCCAGGUGGAGCCCAGCACCCCUUGGACAGGCUCUUCAGGGCCGCCUGCUCUUCCCACCCAGGAAGAAAGUAGGAAUCUCACAGCCGCAAGGCCAGAAGAGCCUCAGAACCUUCCCAGCCGCCAAAGGAGAAAGCCAGCCAAGGAUGCCCUGUGAACGAGGCAGGGCCCGGAGAAGUGCAGCCUGGCCGGAAGGCUGCGUUCAGCAGGCUCGGAGUGUCAGAGCGGCCGGGAAGCAGCUCCUCUGGGGCAGCUGGCUGCGGUGUCGGUACAGAAAGCCUCGUGGAAGGCAUGGCCGCGUCCCAGCCAGAACAGGUCUCAGCUUGUCUGGUGUUAACCACUCACACAGCCGCCUCUGGGGCAUCGCCCACCAGCGAAGGGGCAAGAUGGUCUCAGAAACCGAGGAACGACCUCUUGGCCCUGUCCCCAGACCCAUGGGCCUGUUGCUAAAAGGGGCAAAGAGGUGUUUCCACGAACCUUUAAGACUUGGCAACUGUGCCUUUGAUCAGAUGGUCCAGGAGUGGGAGAUUUUAACCUGCAAGUCAGAAGAUGGAGCGCUGGAGCCUCCCACUAAAUGCCCCUGAGGGUUGGCUCAGAAUGUCCCCAAAGCAAGCGCUAUUUCUCAUCCAAGCCCAGACCUUUCAUUUUGAUAUGGAGAUUAAAGCCAAUACUAUUUCGAGAACACAAAUACUUCUUUUAAAAGAAGUUAUGACUUUCUCACCACUGGAUGGAUCAGACCUUGAAUUUAAUGAUGUGAAAUUGGAAACCUCAUCCAACCCUUAAUGAGAUAAAAGCACGAAGAACAAAAAAAGCUUCCUGAAGUUACAUUUUAUGUCACUGUCAAGGCGAAUGCACUUCAUCAGAGCUAAGAAGU
rnacentral:lncRNA from 1 species